GCCCCGCUCCGCGAUGGGAGCCGGAGCGGCCGCGGCGUACAGCCCGCGCUCCUCCCUCGCCUCCUCCUCUUUCUCCUCCUCCUCAGGGCUCCAGUCAGGCCGAGCCGCUCCGCUCACGAAAGGCAAACUGAGAUACAACUUGCUGCUUUUUGUGGUCACAUGGUGACAACAUAUAUAAAGUCAGAUCUUCAACUUGAUGGGAGACAGUUCCUUUCAACCAAAAGAUACUUUAAAAAUGGCAGAACUCUUUAUGGAAUGUGAAGAAGAGGAGCUAGAACCAUGGCAGAAGAAAGUGAAAGAAGUUGAAGAGGAUGAUGAUGAUGAGCCCAUCUUUGUUGCAGAGAUAGCAAGUUCAAAACCAGCUAUUUCAAAUAUUUUGAACAGAGUUAACCCCAGCUCUCAUUCAAGAGGAAUAAAGAAUGGUAUACUUAAUCGAGGUUUUACUGCCUCAUUCAAGCCUACAAGUCAACGCUGCCUGAAUUCAACAUCAAAUCCUGUGGCUGCCUUGCCAGUAAAUUUUCAUCCUGAAUCUAGAUCUUCAGAUAGCUCUGUUAUUGUUCAGCCAUUUUCUAAACCUGGUUAUGUUACAAAUUCACCACGAGUUCUGUCUAAUAACUCUUCAGAGUUACUGUUUGACUUGACCCAGGAUACAGGAUUAUCACAUUACCAGGGGGGAUCCACACUUUCUAUUGCAGGUUUGAAUGAAGCUUCAUUUUUAUCAAAACGUCCUUCUGGUUCUGACAUAAGCAGUGUUAACCCAAAAAAGCCUAAACCCAGUGAAAAUAUUUCUGGAACAGAUGCCUCUUCUGUAAUCUCUUCAGAAAAGUCUCCACCAGUGAUAUCUCUACAAGUGGUACCAUCGCAAGGUGCAAAUUGUUCAUCAAGUCAAUCUAAAAAUGGAACAACUUUUCCAAGAGCAUGCCCCAAAUGUAAUAUUCACUUCAAUCUUUUGGAUCCUCUGAAAAAUCACAUGACGUAUUGUUGUCCAGAAAUGAUAAAUAACUUUUUGGGAUUGACUAAAGCAGACAAUUUAAAUUCAGCAAAUGAAGCUAAGACUCUUGAAUCAGAGAAAGGAAAAUUGAUAAUGUUAGUUAAUGACUUUUAUUAUGGAAAACAUGAAGGAGAUGCCCUGGAAGAACAGAAGACUCAUACAACCUUUAAGUGCUUCAGUUGCUUAAAAGUUCUUAAAAAUAAUAUUAGGUUUAUGAACCACAUGAAGCACCAUUUGGAGCUUGAGAAGCAGAGCAGCGAGAGCUGGGAGAAGCACACCACUUGCCAGCACUGCUACCGGCAGUUCCCCACGCCCUUCCAGCUGCAGUGCCACAUCGAGAGCACCCAUACGCCUCAUGAGUUCUCCACCAUUUGUAAAAUCUGUGAGCUAUCAUUUGAAACUGAACAGAUUCUUUUACAACAUAUGAAGGAUAACCAUAAACCUGGUGAAAUGCCAUACAUCUGCCAGGUUUGCAAUUACAGAUCAUCAUUAUUUUCUGAGGUAGAGUCUCAUUUUAGAACAUCACAUGAAAACACUAAGAAUUUGCUAUGUCCAUUUUGCCUCAAAGUUAUUAAAAUCGCCACGCCCUAUAUGCAUCAUUACAUGAAGCAUCAGAAAAAGGGAAUACAUCGUUGCACCAAAUGCAGACUGCAGUUUUUGACAUGCAAGGAAAAAAUGGAUCACAAGACUCAACAUCACCGAACAUUUGUAAAACCCAAGCAACUGGAAGGACUUCCCCCUGGAACAAAAGUUACUAUUCGAGCUUCAGUUGGACCUCUUCAGUCAGGAUCUUCAGUUACACCUUCUAUCAGCCCAAGCACUUCUAUCCUCCAGCUUUCACCUCCAGAGCCUGACAAUGAAACUGCUAAAAAUCACGUGAAGUUGAACACAAGUACACCAAACACAACCAUAUCUGAUCCCAGUAAAGCUAAUGAGAUCAAGUCUAAUGGCAGUAAAUCUAAAUAUAAGGCAAAAGUCUCCAACAUGCAGAAGAAACAAAGUACAUUGUCUAAUAGUAAUAAAAAAAGUAAAGUAAACACAGCACUGAGGAACUUAAGGUUACGUCGAGGUGUUCACGAGUGUAUUGAGUGUUCUUCUGAAGUAAAAGAUUUUGCAAACCAUUUUCCUACGUAUGUCCACUGUAGUUUUUGCAGAUAUAACACUAGCUGUAGCAAAGCCUAUGUAAAUCAUAUGAUGAGCUUUCAUAGUAACCGUCCAAGUAAAAGAUAUUGUAUAUUUAAGAAGCAUUCAGAAAAUCUCAGGGGCAUUUCUCUUGUGUGCCUUAAUUGUGAUUUCCUAACUGAUGUUUCUGGCUUAGAUAAUAUGGCUACACACUUAAGUCAACAUGAAACUCAUACUUGCCAAGUUCUAGUAGAGAAAGUUUCUGUUUGUAUCCCAACUUCUGAACGUCUUUCUGAAUGCAGAAGCAGCCCAGAGAUUUCAAAACAUGUCCAGGGUGUACCUGGACAGUGUCCUCUUCGAUGGACACAAGUGCUGCCUGUUCUCUCUUUCCCAGGAAUGAGAAUGAACUGACUGUGGGACCUGCUCUAGGUUCUGGCCUCCCAUCAGGCUGAGGCUGAUCUGGCCAGAAACAGCCUCAAGGCCCACCAAAUAAGCAUAGCUCCCAUUGGUGGCUUUGACUCUUAUUUCUUAAGCUUAUGGGCAAUUGUGAGCAAAAAUGCCCAUCAAAUCAAUGCUUUGAUACCCAAAUUAAGAUAUAGUCAUUUUGGCUGCUGCUCUUAAAUGUUCUUCAAGCACAAAGGCAGUCUAGGACAUCUAGAUACCCUGGUUACUGGGAGAUAAUGGCUGUCUGGUCCUCAGAAAACAGUUCUCAUUAACAUGUUCUAAAAUUACAGUUAUUUUUACUUUCAUUCAAUAUAUAUUGUCCCAUAUUAAGUUUAAUUUUAAUAAAAUUCUCAGAUUCUUUUAUUUUUUAAAUUUAAAUCUGAUAGCUUCAUCUCUAUUCUCUGAAUUAUUGAUGUCUGGUUUUUCUCUUCUAAAAGUUUAAUGUUUCAUUUUUGUCAAGAAUCUCUUGAGAUCAUGUAGUUUACCUGUUUUUAGCUCUUAAGUUUAGGUAUUGCUUAGACCAUUAUGCCCUCUUCCUCUGUCUCUAUUUGAGGACUACUAAUCUAAGUAAUUGUGAAUUUUAAGGUAUAACAAACUGGUGAGACUUCUUGGAAAUUCUAAAAACAAGUUUUACAGUAGCAUUUAACAUUAAUGAACCAUUAAUAUCAUUUCUUUGGGUAGAAAUAAUAUUAAAUAUGCAAUGUAACCAAUAAUAUUCCAAUUUGUUCCUACUUACAUAUCAAACUUGUCACUUUUUUGUUAGCUACAUUGAGUAUAAAUCAAUUAUUUUGAUCUAUUACUUUAAUAGAUCUUUAUUUGUUUCAGAAACUAUUUUCUAAUGAAUAGGGUUUUUUUUUAUAUAAAAUUAUAUUUUAUCCUGCAAGUAGGAGUAUUCCUUGACUGCUGUGUACGUCUGGUGAUUGACAUGUCUCCUGAGAAUACACCCAUUUAGUACGUUUGUGUUCUCCUCAGCCCAACUACAGAGCCUCUGUUGUUGCAGCACUGAUUCUUAGAUUUUGGAGAUGAACAAAGGGCUUUUUAUAAUCUUAGCAGUCAGAUCAGCAGACUCUGAAGUUGUAGUUUAAUCCUGUGUUUCUUACAUCUUAUUUACCCAUCCCAUUAUCAAAACUUCAUUUCUACUUUUGGAACAUAGCUAAAGCCAUAUUCAGAUGACUACUUCUUAUUUUAUUGUGUUCCUUGCAAUUAACAAGGUAAUGAGGUUGAAUCCAUUUGUUUUAAGCUUCUGAACAGUUUUGUACUAUAUCUGAAAGCAUUUCUAAAAUCCUUAAUAACAGCUUCUUGUUUUUUAGUGGACUUGAUACACUGGUCUUUAUAAUUUUUUUAUACUUUAUAAUUUAAAAAAAUGACUAGAAAAAAGGUUUCUUUCCAUUUUUAACAUUAAUUCUUGAUUCAUUUUGAGAUGAGAGGAUGUGUUCUUACUUGGUCCUGGCUGAGUAUGUGCACACUGCCACCACUUUCACAGAACUGGGUUUAUAAUGUGUACCAACUUCACUUCUUUUUCUGCUUAUGGUUUUCUUCCUUCCUUUUAUUCAUUUUUUAAAUCUUUAUUUUAAAUGCAACAGUCUUGUUUUGUAAGUCUAACCUCUCUUUACCAUUAAGUUUAAAAAUUAGUUUAUGUACUGGUCACAUAAAGCCAUCAUGCCUGUGUGCUUUUGAAUUACCGUUGAAGAAAAGGUAUAGUUUGUACACUUUCAAUCCAUUGCCCCUUUGAAAUUUUUAUAGCUUUGGAUUCUUAACCAUUUUUGGAAUAGCAUCAUAUCUCCUGGACUUCAUUUGUUCAUUCAUAAAAUAUUUAUUAAACAUAUACUUCAUGCCUGGCUCUGUUCAUAGCCUGGAAGUUCUGUCCUCGUGGAAAUUACACUUGAAUGGUAAAACAGACAAUUAAAUGUAAAAUAAACAGCAUGCUAGAGUGUGGUCAGUAUUAGAAAAAAAAAUCAUGUAUAGAAAAAGGAUUAAAGGAAAUAUGAAGUGGUAUUUAGAAGGGUGCGGGUGCCAUUUUAGUUUUGGUGAUCAAAAAAGACCCUACUGAGGGAGGGCAAUGACAUUUGAGUAAAGGCCCAAAGUUGGUGAGGAAGUAUAUGGUCUGGGUAACUUGCUUAUGCCUAAGUAUCUUUUUUUUUCUUCUUCUUCUUAAGAGGAGUUGAAUUCAGAAUCUGGCAUAUCACUCUUCCCAAAAAUACCAACAGAAAUUCUUGAUGAACACUGAGAAAAUAAAUGCCCAUUUUACUUGGACCAGUUUGACACUAAAUGUAUUCUUAUAAAGGAAUAAAAACUGAAGCUCCCACUAAGGGACAAGAACCUGUGUCUAAGGAAACAGCAAGACAUAGUACAGCUGA